UUUAAAUCCACCACUUUUCAUCAUUAGUGUUCUCUUAUUUACCAAACCAUUGCUGUGUAUAUCUAACAGUGAAGCCGUUCGGCGGGACGCACAUCCGGGUCACAGCUUUGAAUUGGCUGCCCUGGAUAGCGCUGAACUGCAGCAGCAAUACCAGGACAAAGGAGAUGUACGGUCCGAUGGCGAAUAUGAUUGAGGUCCUCUCUGAAGAAGCUGGCUUCACCUAUAACAUGGUUUGUCCAGACGAAGGAGGCACAGGCAUAGCCCUGCCAAACGGAACUUGGAUAGGUCUAGUCGGCGACCUGUAUAGAAAU